rnacentral:rRNA from 1 species
UACGUAGGGUGCAAGCGUUAUCCGGAAUUAUUGGGCGUAAAGAGCUCGUAGGCGGUUUGUCGCGUCUGCUGUGAAAACUGGAGGCUCAACCUCCAGCCUGCAGUGGGUACGGGCAAACUAGAGUGCGGUAGGGGAGAUUGGAAUUCCUGGUGUAGCGGUGGAAUGCGCAGAUAUCGGGAGGAACAUCAGUGGCGCAGGCGGCGCCCUGGCCUUAGCCUGACGCUCAGGGGCGAAAGCGUGGGGAGCGAACGGG